GUGGCUGCAAGGGUGCAGAAGCAGUCCCAGAUCAGCUCCCCUGGACACAGAUGGUACCUGUGUGUGGUGGUGGUGACAAUUCUGUGUGUUCUGAUGGAAGACAGCUUUGGUCAGAUUCAAAGAGGGGAUAAUUCAGCUGAAGGCUGCAGUUACAGAGCCAAGUGCCAUCAGUCAUUACUGCUCAUAAAGAUAAGGCCAACUGUGAGAUGG